rnacentral:rRNA from 1 species
CCUUUGACGUUAGCGGCGGACGGGUGAGUAACACGUGGGUAACCUACCUAUAAGACUGGGAUAACUUCGGGAAACCGGAGCUAAUACCGGAUAAUAUUUCAAACCGCAUGGUUCGAUAGUGAAAGGUGGUUUUGCUAUCACUUAUAGAUGGACCCGCGCCGUAUUAGCUAGUUGGUAAGGUAACGGCUUACCAAGGCGACGAUACGUAGCCGACCUGAGAGGGUGAUCGGCCACACUGGAACUGAGACACGGUCCAGACUCCUACGGGAGGCAGCAGUC